rnacentral:sRNA from 1 species
UAAUGGUAUAUUUUUAAACCAACAAAAUCUUAAUGGCAUAGAUCUAAUUAACCCUAUAUU